AUGAACGCUGGCGGCGUGCCUAAUACAUGCCAGUCGAGCGAACAGACGAGGAGCUUGCUCCUCUGACGUUAGCGGCGGACGGGUGAGUAACACGUGGAUAACCUACCUAUAAGACUGGGAUAACUUCGGGAAACCGGAGCUAAUACCGGAUAAUAUAUUGAACCGCAUGGUUCAAUAGUGAAAGACGGUUUUGCUGUCACUUAUAGAUGGAUCCGCGCCGCAUUAGCUAGUUGGUAAGGUAACGGCUUACCAAGGCGACGAUGCGUAGCCGACCUGAGAGGGUGAUCGGCCACACUGGAACUGAGACACGGUCCAGACUCCUACGGGAGGCAGCAGUAGGGAAUCUUCCGCAAUGGGCGAAAGCCUGACGGAGCAACGCCGCGUGAGUGAUGAAGGUCUUCGGAUCGUAAAACUCUGUUAUUAGGGAAGAACAAAUGUGUAAGUAACUAUGCACGUCUUGACGGUACCUGAUCAGAAAGCCACGGCUAACUACGUG
rnacentral:rRNA from 1 species